rnacentral:lncRNA from 1 species
UGGUCGUCAGAUAUUUUGACGCUCGGUAUGCUGGUACUGGAGCCUUUUCGAAAAAGGUUACUUCUUUUUGAGAUUUUCACUGGGGCGUGGCUCUAGGUACGGUGCAAUAAUUAUUUUGUCAGCUACCAGCCAUUUUCAACAGCCUGCCAAAGUGAGUGGGACACACAGUAAGUACAGACCGAUCAGAGGAGAUCCACGAUCAUAACCGCUCCAAGUCCUGUUGCCUAUUUAAACACGUCUUCCCCCUUAGGGUUUUCACCCUGCCUGAGAGAGUCCUUCGGUCCCUUCUUCUUCUCCGAGAGCUCCAGCCUCCUCUAGCAUCCUUCUCGACCUUAGGCAUCCUCCAGGUCUUCCAUCGUCCUUGCUGCCCUCCCGCACUCCCCAAGCCAACCUAGGUUAGUCCUGGAACUUCUCGCUGUUUUUUUAUUUUUUUUUGUGCCCUGUUUGUUUAGCUUCCUUAAGGGCCUGUUCGCUAUUUUUCUAAUUUUUUUGGAAUUUUGUAGCUUUCAUUCGAUCCAAAAUGUCUUCCGAUAUUUCCUCUUUUAGUGGUUCUAGGAGUUUGUCAGCCCCAGUUCUCUAUAGUACUGGUACCAUAGACAAACCCGUAGCUAGGACCGAACCUUGUCCGACCUUUGCGCCAGACACCAUCCCUGGCUCCUUGACUCCGGAUG